GACGAACUGUCCAAACGUUGUUCGGAAUCACUGGGCUUAAAGGGCGCGUAGGCGGUCCGGUAAGUCAGGGGUGAAAUCCCACAGCUUAACUGUGGAAGUGCCUUUGAUACUGCCGGUCUGGAGGGAGAUAGGGGUGUGCGGAACUUCCAGUGGAGCGGUGAAAUUCGUAGAUAUUGGGAAGAACACCGAUGGCGAAGGCAGCCAUCUGGACCGACACUGACGCUGAGGCGCGAAAGCGUGGGGAGCAAACAGG
rnacentral:rRNA from 1 species